rnacentral:rRNA from 1 species
GACGAACGCUGGCGGCGUGCUUAACACAUGCAAGUCGAACGGAAAGGCCCUGCUUUUGUGGGGUGCUCGAGUGGCGAACGGGUGAGUAACACGUGAGUAACCUGCCCUCGACUUUGGGAUAACUUCAGGAACCUGGGGCUAAUACCGGAUAGGAGCUCCUGCUGCAUGGUGGGGGUUGGAAAGUUUCGGCGGUUGGGGAUGGACUCGCGGCUUAUCAGCUUGUUGGUGGGGUAGUGGCUUACCAAGGCCUUGACGGGGAGCCGGCCCGAGAGGGUGACCGGCCACAUUGGGAAUGAGAUACGGCCCAGACUCCUACGGGAGGCAGUAGUGGGGAAUAUUGCACAAUGGGCGGAAGCCUGAUGCAGCAACGCCGCGUGCGGGAUGGCGGCCGUCGGGUUGUAAACCGCUUUCGCCUGUGACGAAGCGUGAGUGUCGGUAAUGGGUAAAGAAGCACCGGCUAACUACG